UACGGAGGGUGCGAGCGUUGUCCGGAAUUAUUGGGCGUAAAGAGCUUGUAGGCGGUCUGUCGCGUCUGCUGUGAAAAUCCGGGGCUCAACCCCGGACUUGCAGUGGGUACGGGCAGACUAGAGUGUGGUAGGGGAGACUGGAAUUCCUGGUGUAGCGGUGAAAUGCGCAGAUAUCAGGAGGAACACCGGUGGCGAAGGCGGGUCUCUGGGCCGAAACUGACGCUGAGGAGCGAAAGCGUGGGGAGCAAACAGG
rnacentral:rRNA from 1 species